UUUGCUUGGUGCGAAUCCUGGGGGCGCUGGAAUAAAUUGAAAAUUCUGUCGGCUAUCGUUUUUUAGGAAAAAAUUGUUUAAUCGGAAUGUCGCAGAGUCGGAUUUGAAUUAUUUUGAAGCGCCGCGGAGUCGGAUUUUCGUCGUGCUUGAAAGGGGAACGAGGAAACAAUUACGUGCAAUUUUACGUGGAAACUUUAGAACCAUAAUAAAGUGUAAAGUGUAGUUAAAGUGUCUGACAUUUCUGGGCAGUUUCGGUCCGUACAAAGAAACAAUGCUCGUCUGAUGGAGAAACUGCAGAUCGGGUCGAUGUAGAGGAUCGUCCAAUUGAGUUGCGUGAUCAGUAGGAAUCGCAGUCUCAGAGGUCCUGCGAGCAGCACUAAUAUCGUCGUCUGGCACAAAGUAUGAGCAGCAAUUUCAUUGAGCUGGAUCUGGUAGCCCCUCGGUCUUUAUUUCCUUUUUCAAGGUUGUAGCUGUUCUUCGGAAGAAGUAUAAACUAAAUGGACUAGAUCAACUAUUACAUUCCAAUCGGUUCGAUCACUGCGAACGGUUCAUUCAAAUGUCAGACGGGAAGUUUUGAAAUGACUUCAAAACGAGUCCUUGCCGUUCGAUCCAUGGAAAAAUCGACACAGAUCGACUUAGAUUUUUUUAAAUGUCGAACCGAGACAUAUUCGCAUUUGUGGCAUGUCAAAUCCAUCUUAUUGGAUAUUUAAACCAAUCGGUCGAAAAAUAGUUUGAGAUCCUCUAGCAGAUGAACAUAUUGGCAAGCACAGGAAAUGCGUCUGUAUACAGAUUGAGGAACAUCUAAGCAAAGCCUCAAAGUGCAGAUUGAGGAUCACCAAAACAUUUGUCCUGAUCAGUUUUGUUUGGUGCGAAUCCUGGGCCUAUCGUUUUUUAGGAAAAAAUUAUUUGUUUUUGUCGCGGAGUCGGAAUUGAAUUACUUUGAAGCGCCGCGGAGUCGGAUUUUCGUAGUGCUUGAAAGGGGAACGAGGAAGGAAGUUAACACAACAUUUGCGUGGAAUUGACUUUAUAACCAUAAUAAAGUGUAAAGUGUCUGACAUUUCUGGGCAGUUUCGUCCCCUACAAAGGACAAUGCUUCUCUGAUGGAGAAACUGCAGAUGGGGUCGAUGUGGAGUAUCGUCCAGUUGAGUUGCGUGAUCAGUAGGAAUGGCGGUCGCAGAGGUCCUGCGAGCAGCACUAAUAUCGUUCCCCGGCACGAGAGUAUCAGCAGAAUCUUCGGCUACUGGAUCCGGAAGUUUCUCCGCCAUUAUCUCCUUCUUAGGUUGUAGCUGUUGGUCGGAGGAAGCGUGCAUGUCGUCUGCCAAAAUGACUGCCAACGGAGAUUGUAAUGGAGACAUGAAAACAAUUAGCCCCUGUGAGGAUGCGUCGGACUUGAUUAAUAAGGAUCUUUUUGUCGAUGUAUUAGAAAAACAAUUCGCAAAAUGUACUCUAAAAAAGUUUGAAUCCGUAAAAAGUUCAGAAGGUUGUGAGAAUUAUAUGUCCUUGAUGUUUCGUGUUAACAUAGAUAUGGAAAAGGAAGAUGGAACACCAACCACAGCUAAAUUCAUAGUAAAAGUGAUGCCACCCAACGAUCCAAGUGCCGAGUUCAAAAAAAAUCUUCAGGUGUAUUCAAAAGAGGUUGAAAUGUAUACCAAAGUUAUCCCGAAAUUUCAAGAAAUUUUCCAUGAAAACAACAUAGAAGUCGAGUUCGCACCUAAAUUUUGGAAAACUGUGGAAGAGCAUGAAAUUUUAAUAAUGGAGGAUCUAAAAGCACGCAAAUUUGAGAACAUAAAUCGAAUACAGGGAAUGGACAUGCAACAUGCAGAACUAGUCCUCGGAAAAAUAGCACAAUUUCAUGCUGCAUCGGCUUGCAUUUAUGAAAGGGAUGGUAAGUAUUCACCUCAAUUAAUGGAUGAAACACUUCGUGAGGCAAAAGAAGAAGGAUUCCGAAAGAUACAGCCAAUCCUUUGGGCUAUGAUAUGUAGUCAUUUUCGACAGUGGCAUAGUUGUCAGGAGUAUGUAGAGAUGAUGGAAGGCUUGAAGGAUCGAAUUGCGGACGUAUACAUAGAAGCGUUCAAAAGAGAUUCAAAUGAGUUCAAUGUUCUCUUACAUGGUGACCUUUGGGCUAAUAAUAUAAUGUUCCAACAUGACGACAAUGGCAAAGCAAAAGAAGUCCUUUUCGUAGACCUUCAGAUUUCUCGCUAUGGAAGUCCUGCUCAUGAUCUGAUAUAUUUCAUAGUUUCAUCAACCGAAAAUUCAAUAAAAACCAAAGAAUUUGAUCACUUCAUCAAAUUUUAUCAUACAGAGUUGGUGAAGAAUCUGAAGCUUCUAAAGUACCCGAAACCAAUACCGAAACUCAUCGAUUUACAUAUUGCGGUGUUGAAAAGGUGCUUCCUCGGUAUUGCAACAUCUGUCGGAGCUAUGGCAGCUGCACUUCAAGAUCCCAACGAUAAUGCUGACAUUUCGUUUUUCAUGGCACAGUCUGAGGAAGCAAAACAGUUCAGAAAAAACUUUUAUAUGAACCCAAGGCUGAUAAGGGCUUGUGAACUUACGUUACCAUUUUUCUGUAAUAAAGAAAUUAGUGAAGUACCAACUGUGGUCCACUUACACAGCGGCAUUCCUGUGGUCAUACAUAUGAUGAGGCGCGAGCGGAUUAACGAGGAUUCGUCCGCACUCCCCACCAGAAUAAUACAAUUCACCACGAAGUGAAACUCACAAAGUACAUCACUAUUGCCAUCAAUAAAGUUGCAGUCUGCGCAAGCACAAUCGCCCGGCAAGCAGCUGCAAUAAUCGCAGGCACAGCGUCUACAACACCUUGUUUGGAUGCGGAAACCAAUCAGGAUUCACGCCACCGCUUGGACGGCCUCUCCAGAACAUCAAUCCACCGUCCAUUAGCACUAAACGACGCUUCCCCCGAAUCGAAGCCAAGCUCAUCCGAAGCUGCAGGACAUUCAGGGCAUCCAACAAUAGGAUGCGGUUCGCCUC
rnacentral:misc_RNA from 1 species